rnacentral:piRNA from 1 species
UGAGACCCUUUAAGUUGUGAGAUAGUGCUGU